rnacentral:rRNA from 1 species
UACGUAGGGCGCAAGCGUUGUCCGGAAUUAUUGGGCGUAAAGAGCUCGUAGGUGGCUUGUCGCGUCGGUUGUGAAAGCCCACAGCUUAACUGUGGGUCUGCAUUCGAUACGGGCAGGCUAGAGGUAGGUAGGGGAGAACGGAAUUCCUGGUGUAGCGGUGAAAUGCGCAGAUAUCAGGAGGAACACCCAUGGCGAAGGCGGCUCACUGGACCGGUAUUGACGCUGAGGUGCGAAAGCGUGGGGAGCAAGCAAG